rnacentral:lncRNA from 1 species
CUUGUGAUUCAGUUCACGCGUUUCUCGCACUCGUGCGGAACAGCCCCGCGAGUUGCAAUGAACUCAGGGCUGUUGGACCGGAACACCGCGGCUCCAGCUCCAACUGCCCAAACUUGGAGAAUGCAGCUCGAGAAUCCCUUUCCCGGGGCGCCACCUACAGGUGGGCCGAACAGAUCCGGAUCGCUCCAGCUCACCCACUCCCACACACAGUUCCACCCGCCCCUUUGGCCUGGGACACUCGGUGCAAAGUUGCCAGCAAUGCCCAGUCCAAAAUGCGAACUAAUGAGACUCAGCGUCAAGCCCGAAGAACGCGCUCGGAUAGUAGCAGGGCUCCCUGGGGCACGGAUUUCCACCCAGUACAGAUGGGGUGGUUGGUGAGUGUACAUGCGGUGCACUGCUGAACUUCCUCUUCCUGCACCCGGAGGCUGCCAAAACCAAGGGCUCAGUGAAGACCCAGCGCCUUGCGCCCCCCAGCGGCAGCUGGAUGGGGGAGAACAGCUCAUCCAGCGUUGCCUGGGUUUCCAGAAGUUUGCUUUUGCUUGCUGGCAUCUGAGACUCAGGAUGUCUCAUAAAGGAGGGACGAGGUGAGGAGAGCCAAGGCACUCUAUCUGUUUAGUGCCAUUUCCUUUCUUUCUUUCUUGAUGGUGUAUAAAAUAAUCAUGUGUCUUAAUUGAAUAAAAUAUAUAUUGAAGUGAUUGCAACUUAGAUAUGGCUCUUUUUUUCAACCCUUCU